GGGCUAGUUCGCGCCGGGCACCCCGCAGCGGACCGGCAACGUGGAGGCAGCCGUUGGCGCAACCAACGGCGCGGACCAGGGCGGUGUGGGGCCGCUGGAGGAUGCGACGCCCAUGGACGCCUAUUUGCUCAAACUGGGCUUGUAUUGGAAAUUGGUCGCCAAGGCCGGGUCGUGCUUGUUCAGGGCUGUGGCCGAACAGGUGAAGGGACUGGGCCAGAACUGGACGGGCUUGGAGCUGGGUGCGACACGCUACCCGCAGCUGCUUGGCCGCCCACGGCAGGGCCGCAUGUGGCUCGCUGGCAGGGUCUGUUAGUUUUCUGACGUUGCUGUGACCACAAAGCCUGAGUGAAUUGACUUCAGGGAAGACUUACUGUGGUUCGUGGUUCCUGAGGGUCCCAUCCAUCAGCUCACAGAGAGCAUGGUACAGCAGCUGAGUUGAUGGCAUGAGACACACAUGGUGGAGACCCCAGAGUUCAGGGCAGUAGCAGCGGCAGGUGUAACCCACAAAGCCCUUGCCUUUGACUGCUUCUACCAGGGAGGCUCUUUUUCCUACAGACUCCACAGGUUCCCAAAAACAGCACCACCAGCGAGCGGGCAAACAUUCAAAACCGGCAUUUCAGACUCAAGCCACAACCGAUGACAGAGGUUUCAACACAUACACCAGCCAUGAAAUACUUUGGCCUUGGAGUACACCUUCCAUCCACCUUAGGUUCCAUGGCAUGUGGCUGCAUUGAGGCACAAUGCACCAAGCUCUAAAACCCAUAAUACUCACCUGCUUUCAGUGAACCCCGAGACAAGGACAAACUGCAGCGUCUGAGCCAGGCCGUCCAGCGUCACUGGAUGUGUGGAGGAUACGUGAAAGGGCAACCUCUCACUGAACGGACAGGAUGUCUGGGGACGCUGCGCCCUUGGAAGGUGGAGCUGUACAGGAAUGAAGUCGCAGUCUUCCAAAUUAUUAUGCAUCCUGAGGGGAGUUCCAAGCUCCUGAAGCUUUCCACCUGGAGGAUGGGAACAGAUGUGGGGUUUGUUCUUCGUUUCUUUUUUCCAUUCCAACUGGAUGGAAAAUGCCUAUAGUGACUGUAUUUUAAGUUGGAGUAUUUCUGAAUCUGCAUCAACUCCCGACAAGCCAGUCUACACAUUAGCAUGGGUGUACUUCUGGUACUCAACUUCGGCAGCACAUAUACUAAAAUUGGAACGGUGCAGAGAAGAUUAGUAUGGUCGCCCCCGCACGUGGAGGACACGCAAAUUCGUUAAGCGUUUCAUACUUUUUUUUUUAAAAGAGUAUUUGGGAGCCUUACCAGGGUUGUCUAAUUGUUCCUUCUGUUUUAUAAUGGAUCACUGGUGAGUGUGCCCAGUUUUCAGUUAUAGUAGCUGUUUUAUGGUGGAUGGUUCAGGAUGCCUAGUCAUUUAUUGUCCACACGUGUGAUGUUUUACUUCUAUCAGGAAUAGAUGAGCUAAAAAUGGCUUUUCAAAUGAAGAAUGGUGAUAGUGUGGGCUUCUUCCAAAACCAACAGUGCUUUCUCUGCAGUUUGGGGUCUCCAAACAACACCUUUGUGACAUGCACACAUCCUGUGAUGCUGGACAUCCUGGCUCAGAUGCUGCAGUUGUCCUUGUCUCAGGAUUCACUGAAAGCAGCUGCUGGAUUUGGUUGCUGUUCCUUGUUCAAGCAGAGGAUUUGAUCUGUCGUUGGUGUUGAACAUCUGAACAGAAACGCCACAAGUGGACUCAUUUCUUUUGAAGUUCUGUGGAAAUUCCAGAAGCGUGGGUGAGGAAGUCACGGGCCGGGUCCUCCGGGGUGGGGGUGGGGGGGGGAGACUCGCCUGCCAGAGCAGGGGGAGGGAGUCACUGGCUUCCAUCUGCAGGUGGGAUCCCCCCAGGUCACCCCGGCUGUCGGGGCCAUGGUGCAGCCAAGACUUUAGGCAACCCUCAAGUGAGCAGCGACUGCACCGUGGUGGACCGGGUGCAUGCUUUUUAGCCGGCGAGGAUGCAGCCAGCAUCUGCGAGCACCCCGAGUGGUCGCCACUUUGGCAGCCGCAACCACAGCCGAGAAUGCGGUGCAAGCGGCUGCUGAAUUUUCCCCUGUAGAGAGCCAGAGAAGAAGAAAAACCAAAAAGAGAAGGCACCAAAAUCUCGGCUUGGUUCGUUUUUUGAGCUGUUCAAAACUAAUUUGUUUAUGAAAAUGACCUGUGUCUGUGAUCGGAACAACUGGAGGCGAUGGAUCCGACCCCUGCUCGUACUUAUUUACUUAAUUUCCAUCCUCGUCUCGGUUCCCUUGUGUGUUUGGAAACUUCAAAAAGUAAAGAUAGGAGGGUCCAGCACCUCUACCCUUUCCUAAGCUAGUUGGCAGAAUCCCUUUGCCCUCUCAUGCUUGGGGUCUGAAAACCUUUUUGUCUUUGAACAUACAACCCGUCUGAUUUCUGAUUUCAUUUUGCCGCUACAACUAGAGGUGGGACUGGGUGGAGAAAAUAGUUAACAUUGUUGCUGAGAAUACUUUGCCAAUACCUACCCAUCAAUUCUCAGAGAACUCUUCUUGAAAUCAGAUCUGCUGUGCAUUUAUUGGUCUUAACCAGAUAAAAUAAACUCCCUUGAAAGCUACAUUAUGGAUUUUAGAAGCUCUUCCUGAAACAAAAGGAUUCCCUUUAUUUUGACUUGCUAAUUGUUUUUACGUUUGAAGUUAAGUCUUUUAUUGAUUUCUUUCUUUAAUGGGAUAAAGUCUCAUGUAGACCAUGCUCUUUGAAAUUUGCCUUGUAGCCUAGAGUAAUCCUCCAAGCAAAUUCAGAGCGCUUCUGAUUAUUGAACGCUGGGGAUGUGUAAUGAGCGUGGAACCAGAUUCCUCUGAAUGAAUAAAGAAAGGGGAAUCUGUAGUGUAGAUAGAACAGGAAAUUUAUAGAAUAAAAAUAAAUGCAACUUGGUGUAAUGUAAAAGCAUUUCUUCCUGUGUGUGGUAUGGAAAAUUACUAAGGUAAAAUAUUAAGAGAACAAUUGCCCAUUUGAAGGCUGCCACACCCAUCCGUCCCUACCAGAUGGAGAGGCUGCAUCCAGCAACUGUGGUAACGAAAUAAUCUUGCCACACAAGAGGGACCCCCACCCUUCUGUGGCCAGUCGAUAUUGAUAACCUAGGACACCUGGUUAUUGGAAGAAUCAAGCGAAGGGCAGUUUUGAACUGACUUAAAAGAGGGGGCUGAAGCAGAAUGGUUAUCUCACUUCUCACGAUGGCUCAGGUAUCUGGCCUCGUGGAAAGAGAGAUCCUCCAAGCCUGCCUCCCGAAAAGCAGAAAUAUUAAACGCCUUGCCUAAACAUCUAAUGCUCUGUCUCCCGAGUACAGAGCUUCAUAUCCCGAAAACAGACAUUUAACGCCUUGCAUCCCGAAUGCAAAGCCUCAUUCCCUGAGAGUGAACAUUGAAGGUCUGUCUCCCGAGAACAGACAAGAUACUCUGCCUUUCAGAACGCUUUGCCAUCCCGAGAGCAAAGCUUCGUCUUCGAGAGUAAAGAACUAAAAGCCUUGUCUCCUGAGACUUGAUCACCCGAAAAGCCGAGUCCCAAGGCCCUACAUUCUGAGAUAGACUAGCACCAGGCCAGAGACUACGCGGUCAAAGAUUGAUCCAGCACCCGAUACCAGCCUGGAACAGGACAUCGGAACCUUAUCUCCCGAACGCAGACUAUGGGGUCAAGAGUAGAGCCUCGCUAUCCAGCCCCCAGUGCGGUCAGGCAUCCAGCCUGAAGAAAAUCAAAAAGCCCUUUUUAAGCUGAAGAAUACCAGGUCGUAUGAUGCUAGUUCAUGCAUGUAUGAGAUGUUAAGAGCACAGACAUGUUAAUACAUAUGUUUAGUGUGUGAAAUGUUAAGACAUAUAACAUAUUGAUAAUUGAUAAGAUUAGGAAAUGUUAAUGUGAAAGCCCCUCCCCAUACUUGAAAGACCCCCAUGUCCGCAUACUAUGUUAAACUCUGCUGAAACUUAACUGAGCCAUAGAAAGAAAGCCCCCAGGCUCAGCUAAUGACUCUGCGAAAUUUAGCUGGGCCAUAGAAGAAAAGUCCCCCUUGCCCAGCCGAUGCUAAAACAGGAUAUCUAUGGGUUGCAGACUCACUGACUAGGCUGAGGAGAGGGAGUACCACACCCCCAAGGCAUUCUAUUGAAACUGUCAACUUGGUGCAGGGUUCUCUAUCUAGCUUUGUGGUUUUUCGGGGAAAUUUGAGAAUAGACAUGGGGCCCUUCCUGGGGUGAGCUAAGCCCGCCAAUUUGAGAACCAAUGAAAUGCUUGCUAUACAGCUUCUUAUGUAACUCUCAAAUCCCUAUAAAUACAUAAUGUGCCUUCAGCCCGGCAUGCUCAGUAACUUGGUUGCUGUAGCAUCCGCAGGCACCUGUGUAUCCAAUAAACUACCUCAUGCUUUUGCAUCCAG